rnacentral:rRNA from 1 species
AUUGAACGCUGGCAGCAUGCUUUACACAUGCAAGUCGAACGGUAACAGGCCGCAAGGUGCUGACGAGUGGCGAACGGGUGAGUAAUGCAUCGGAACGUGCCCAGUCGUGGGGGAUAACUACUCGAAAGAGUAGCUAAUACCGCAUACGAUCUAUGGAUGGAAGCGGGGGACCGUAAGGCCUCGCGCGAUUGGAGCGGCCGAUGUCAGAUUAGGUAGUUGGUGGGGUAAAGGCUCACCAAGCCAACGAUCUGUAGCUGGUCUGAGAGGACGACCAGCCACACUGGGACUGAGACACGGCCCAGACUCCUACGGGAGGCAGCAGUGGGGAAUUUUGGACAAUGGGCGCAAGCCUGAUCCAGCAAUGCCGCGUGCAGGAAGAAGGCCUUCGGGUUGUAAACUGCUUUUGUACGGAACGAAACGGCUCUGGUUAAUACCCGGGGCUAAUGACGGUACCGUAAGAAUAAGCACCGGCUAACUAUGUG